AUGGCUGAUGGGAUAUUUGCAUUUGUAGUUACUGAAGGUAGAAGAAGGCUGGAUUAUUGUAAGAGCUUUUACCAUUGUGACAGCUCAGGCUGGAAGAAGAUAUUUGGAGAAGGAGCUAUCAUCAUAGUAACUCCUCCUGAGAGAAACCUUGCUGCAGACACUUCCCCCAAGCCCACUAUUUUUCUUCCUUCAAUUGCUGAAAUCAACCAUGAUAAUGCUGGAACAUAUCUUUGUCUCCUGGAGAAAUUUUUCCCUGAUGUUAUUACAGUUUCUUGGAAAGUAAAAAAUAGCAACAGAGUUCUGCCAUCCCAGCAGGGAAAUACCAUGAAGACCAAAGACACAUACAUGAAGUUGAGCUGGCUGACCGUGACCAAAAACUCUAUAGAUAAACAACAUGUAUGUGUUGUCAAACACAUGAAAAAUAUAGGAGGAAUUGAUCAAGAGAUUAUUUUUCCUUCAAUAAAAGAAGUUGUCUCCGCAGUUCCCCCUACUACUGAGACUCCUACUACUGAGCCUCCUACUACUGAGCCUCCAGAUGAUUGUUUGACCGAUGAAAGUGAAGCUACAGGUACUGGUUCUAAAAAAGCUUGUCUGAAAGAUAAAAGUGAAGUCACUGCUGAUACUAAUUCUACAAAAUCGUGUCUGGAAGGUGAAAGCAGUACCCUGGAGCUGCAGCUCAUAAACACCUCUGCCUAUUACACCUACCUCUUACUCCUUCUCAUAAGCACAGUCUACUUUGUCAUCAUCACGUCCCGUGUGUUUAGGAGAACAGGCAUCUGCUGUGAUGGGAAGAUCUCGUGACAAAGAGGGCUACCGAGAGGUCAACGUUCCUUCAUCAUCUCCAGUCCCAGAAAUUCUCUGCUUGCUUUCUGUUUUGAGUGAGCUCAGUUCAGAUGUGUAUUUAUCUGUGACGUCAUCAUUGUCCCGCCCCCAAGUCCUUUCAACUCCUGAGGCACACCAUGGGCAGCUCCCUGUCUCCUCCCCCCGCCCCUCCACCCAGACCACGGCCCUGCCCCUCCCUGUCACACACCCUGGAGAAGUCAGCUUUGCUGCUCGAAUUCUGUACUCAGAUUUUCAUAACAUGCACAAUAAAUAAAAAAGAAUCACAA